rnacentral:rRNA from 1 species
UACGGAGGGUGCAAGCGUUAUCCGGAUUCACUGGGUUUAAAGGGUGCGUAGGCGGGCAGGUAAGUCCGUGGUGAAAUCUCUGAGCUUAACUCAGAAACUGCCAUGGAUACUAUUUGUCUUGAAUAUUGUGGAGGUAAGCGGAAUAUGUCAUGUAGCGGUGAAAUGCUUAGAUAUGACAUAGAACACCAAUUGCGAAGGCAGCUU